rnacentral:rRNA from 1 species
GAUAGUCCCGUACACCAAAAUGCACAGGUUGUGAACUCGAAGAGUAGGGCGGGACACGUGGUAUCCUGUCUGAAUAUGGGGGGACCAUCCUCCAAGGCUAAAUACUCCUGACUGACCGAUAGUGAACCAGUACCGUGAGGGAAAGGCGAAAAGAACCCCGGCGAGGGGAGUGAAAAAGAACCUGAAACCGUGUACGUACAAGCAGUGGGAGCACCUUCGGGUGUGACUGCGUACCUUUUGUAUAAUGGGUCAGCGACUUAUAUUCUGUAGCAAGGUUAACCGUAUAGGGGAGCCGCAGGGAAACCGAGUCUUAACUGGGCGUUAAGUUGCAGGGUAUAGACCCGAAACCCGGUGAUCUAGCCAUGGGCAGGUUGAAGGUUGGGUAACACUAACUGGAGGACCGAACCGACUAAUGUUGAAAAAUUAGCGGAUGACUUGUGGCUGGGGGUGAAAGGCCAAUCAAACCGGGAGAUAGCUGGUUCUCCCCGAAAGCU